rnacentral:rRNA from 1 species
UACGGAGGGGGCUAGCGUUGUUCGGAAUUACUGGGCGUAAAGCGCGCGUAGGCGGCUUUGUAAGUUAGAGGUGAAAGCCCGGGGCUCAACUCCGGAAUUGCCUUUAAGACUGCAUCGCUUGAAUCAUGGAGAGGUGAGUGGAAUUCCGAGUGUAGAGGUGAAAUUCGUAGAUAUUCGGAAGAACACCAGUGGCGAAGGCGACUCACUGGACAUGUAUUGACGCUGAGGUACGGAAAAGCGUGGGGAGCAAACAGG